GGACCCUCCAGUAUAAACGGGUGUCACCGUAUGGCUCAGCAUGCUACUAAGUCUUGUCUCUUACUGUCUGCAGCCCCUCCAAGAGGAAGAUGCAGCACAUCUCCAACCUGUCCAUUGCUGUCAUGUAUGUCAUGUACUUCCUGGCUGCCCUCUUCGGCUACCUCACCUUCUAUGACGGGGUGGAGUCAGAGCUGCUGCACACCUACAGCAAGGUGGACCCAUUUGAUGUGCUGAUCUUGUGUGUGCGCGUGGCCGUGCUGAUAGCGGUCACACUUACGGUUCCGAUCGUUCUGUUCCCGGUACGACGGGCCAUCCAGCAGAUGCUGUUUCAGAACCAGGAGUUCAGCUGGUUGCGGCACGUGCUUAUUGCCACCGGCCUCCUUACUUGCAUCAACUUGCUGGUUAUCUUCGCCCCCAACAUCUUGGGCAUAUUUGGGAUCAUUGGUGCUACAUCUGCUCCGUGCCUCAUCUUCAUCUUCCCUGCCAUCUUCUACUUCCGAAUCAUGCCCACUGAGAAGGAGCCUGUGAGAUCCACCCCCAAAAUCCUGGCCCUUUGCUUUGCUGCGGUUGGCUUCUUGCUGAUGACCAUGAGUUUGAGUUUCAUCAUCACUGACUGGGUCUCUGGGACCAGCCAACAUGGAGGAAACCAUUAGGAUGACCUCCAUCUUGCUCUGUUUAUUCCUCCUAGUACCCCCUGCCCUCUCUCUCUCCAGCCCCUGCUCCCAGCCAGGGGCUAAGGAAGGGGAGAAAGACAGGGGAGAAAGACUCUGUAAAUACUAUGGCAUUUGGCUCCACCCAUAUCCUCUCCGUCGGAAGGUUUUUGUUGAAGAGCCAAGGCCCUUGGACCACCCCUGCUGGGCUCCAGAGCUGCAGGGGCUUCCUGCACUAGGAACAGGGUGGGGCUGUCGCCUUAGAUCCCACCGAAACCCUCCAUCCUCCUCCAGCAGCUGUGUACACUGAGGCC
rnacentral:lncRNA from 1 species